GAUGAACGCUGGCGGCGUGCCUAAUACAUGCAAGUCGAGCGAACAGACGAGGAGCUUUCUCCUCUGACGUUAGCGGCGGACGGGUGAGUAACACGUGGAUAACCUACCUAUAAGACUGGGAUAACUUCGGGAAACCGGAGCUAAUACCGGAUAAUAUAUUGAACCGCAUGGUUCAAUAGUGAAAGACGUUUUUUCUGUCUCUUAUAGAUGGAUCCGCGCCGCAUUAGCUAGUUGGUAAGGUAACGCCUUACCAAGGCAACGAUGCGUAGCCGACCUGAGAGGGUGAUCGGCCACACUGGAACUGAGACACGGUCCAGACUCCUACGGGAGGCAGCAGUAGGGAAUCUUGCGCAAUGGGCGAAAGCCUGACGGAGCAACGCCGCGUGAGUGAUGAAGGUCUUCGGAUCGUAAAACUCUGUUAUUAGGGAAGAACAAAUGUGUAAGUAAAUAUGCACGUCUUGACGGUACCUAAACAGAAAGCCACGGCUAACUACGUG
rnacentral:rRNA from 1 species